rnacentral:rRNA from 1 species
UACGGAGGGUGCAAGCGUUAUUCGGAAUGACUGGGCGUAAAGCGCGCGUAGGCGGCCGACUAAGUCUGAUGUGAAAGCCCCGGACUCAAUCUGGGAAGUGCAUUGGAUACUGGUUGGCUAGAGUGUAGGAGAGGAGAGCGGAAUUCCUGGUGUAGAGGUGAAAUUCGUAGAUAUCAGGAGGAACAACGGAGGCGAAGGCGGCUCUCUGGACUAAUACUGACGCUGAGGUGCGAGAGCGUGGGGAGCAAACAGG